ensembl:lncRNA
AAAAAGUCAAUAAUAAACCACAACACCAAUAUAAAGAUUUAAACUUUAGAUAAUCUCUCGUGUGAAUUUUCAUUUCAGAAAAAAGAGCUCCUCCCCGGCUGACCCGGGUCGACUUUCGAGUCAUACACGAGAGGUACCGCAGGCUCUGGGCGCUACAGCCCCCGCCGGGCGAAGGUGACCGGCGGGCGGUCAAGGCCCAUGUCCGGGAGGAGCUCGCAAAUGGGCGUGUCCCAGUAAGUAUUUCUCCAGGGUUUUUUUUUUUCCCCCCCAGCAAAAGUAAGUACCUAUGCAGUAGUAGCACCCAGAUUUUCAGCAUAAUGGUAUUUUGCAUUGCAUUGCUGUUUUGAUGCAGUUUUCUGUCUUCAUUUAUGUUGGAAGUGAUAAGUAGAGCCGUACGUUUUAAUUUUUUUCAGAAAUCUCUCAGACCGUGGUAUAUCAUGUUUAGGUGGAAACUAGUGAGCUAACUUCACGAAGCUCUUGACUACUUAAGUAUUCUUUUUAAGAUUCAAGAUUAAGAAUCUUGAAUCCUCACCCUUCUUGAGCUUCUCGAGUGAUGUUGCGAUCACUUGGUAUACAGUGGCUUGCAAAAGUAUUCGGCCCCCUUGAAC